rnacentral:rRNA from 1 species
GGAGUUAGCCGGUGCUUCUUCUGCGAGUAACGUCACAGAUGUAAGGUAUUAACUUACACCCUUUCCUCCUCGCUGAAAGUGCUUUACAACCCGAAGGCCUUCUUCACACACGCGGCAUGGCUGCAUCAGGGUUUUCCCCCAUUGUGCAAUAUUCCCCACUGCUGCCUCCCGUAGGAGUCUGGGCCGUGUCUCAGUCCCAGUGUGGCUGAUCAUCCUCUCAGACCAGCUAGGGAUCGUCGCCUAGGUGAGCCUUUACCUCACCUACUAGCUAAUCCCACCUGGGCUUAUCCAUCAGCGCAAGGCCCGAAGGUCCCCUGCUUUCCCCCGUAGGGCGUAUGCGGUAUUAGCAGUCGUUUCCAACUGUUAUCCCCACAAAUGGGCAAAUUCCCAGGCAUUACUCACCCGUCCGCCGCUCGUCAUCUUCAAAAGCAAGCUUUUGAAACUGUUACCGCUCGACUUGCAUGUGUUAGGCCUGCCGCCAGCGUUCAAUCUGAGCCAGGAUCAAACUCUGA